AAACGAAUCCCCUGGGGAUCUUGUUAAAAUACAGAUUUUGAUUCAGUAAAUGUGAGGUGGAGCCUGACUUGAAAGUCUGCAUUUCUAACAAGCUCCCAGGUUGAUGCCUCU
rnacentral:pre_miRNA from 1 species